GGCAGAGUCUCAGAAACACUGAGUAGGAUCACUGUUGAAUUGUAGUUUAAGUAUGUGAUGUGACCCACAUCCAUGAGCACUUUUCAGUCCUUAGCAAGUAUACAUUCACAGCAUACUUCUAAGGUGGGGAAGUUGUACCUUAUCCUUGUCUUACAGAGGAGGACCCAUAGUUCAGGAGGACUGAAUCAAGAUUAGAGGGACCUCAAGGCUGCCCUGAACAAAUGAAGAAAUGCUGUUUUGAAACUACCCCCGACCAAUGCCUAUUCAGCCUCUUUUAAAACUGUCAUUGAAGGAGAUUCCACAGCUUCCCUGCCUUCCUGGUCUAACAUGCUUUGACAAGGUUAAACAGGAAAUUAUGAGAAAACUGAACCUUGAGCUCAUUAAUUUAGGUAUUCCUUCCAUCAUUUGAAGUAUUGUGCAUUGGUUGGUGAAGCAACGUGGGAAAGUGCAUGCUGUUACAGCCUAGGUUAUACUUGGGUAUUGACAGAGCAUUUUAGGUUGCCAUCUUUUGUGAACACAGACACAUUUUAGACAUUCAGUGAAAUCCAUAUGCAGUGGUUCAUAGGUAUCAGCAUUUCAAAUUCAUAACCACUCAUAGCAUUCAUUACUACUCUUGUGGCACAGCCUCUGUAUGAGAUGAAGAGAAAUUGGCUAAAGAUGUGUGACAGCUGUUUGUGAACUCAUUCAAACUGACAAAGCUCUUGAAGUAGCCACCUGUGUCUAUAAUAGCAAAGAUCUUCACUAAGAAAGCAAUUGCUUUUAAUGGGAAGAAAUUUCAGAAACCUUCCAUUCAUGCUCUGGUCUGUUGCAUUGGAUGAGACCUGAAACACAUAAUCCAAGAUGGAUAAGGUGGAAACCAUGCAACUGGGUGUCUGUGUGCCCAAAACACCAUACCUCAUGUUUAUAAUAUGGACUUUUUCCCAGAGUUUGGAGUAGGCGAAUCAGACACAGAGGCAACCCUUCAGGUGUCAGUGAGCUUAGUAGGAUUUGAGUGUGCAUAUCACAUAAACAGCAUCAGAGAUCAACAUCAGCCCUCAGCAUCUUAGAUGCACCCUACUAUAACAGAACAUGUGAAGAGGUAUUUCCACCUUUGACCAGUCUGGAAUUUCUAAUGCUUUGAACCUCUUACAGGAAUAGAAAUUUGAACCACAAAUCUGUUUUGAAGUGUUUUAGGGCCUUCUUGCUUGCUUGCCAUUACAAGGUAGGCCUAAGUGAUCUCAAUAUGUGUGAGACAAAUGACAUUUCUCUUCUCUUGAAAAACAUCAUCAGUUAAGUUACAGCAUUGAUUUUUCUUUUUGUGCUAGCACCAUUCUAUUAAAAAAAAAA